UACGGGGGGUGCGAGCGUUGUUCGGAAUUACUGGGCGUAAAGGGCUCGUAGGUGGCCAACUAAGUCAGACGUGAAAUCCCUCGGCUUAACCGGGGAACUGCGUCUGAUACUGGAUGGCUUGAAUCCGGGAGAGGGAUGCGGAAUUCCAGGUGUAGCGGUGAAAUGCGUAGAUAUCUGGAGGAACACCGGUGGCGAAGGCGGCAUCCUGGACCGGCAUUGACGCUGAGGAGCGAAAGCCAGGGGAGCAAACGGG
rnacentral:rRNA from 1 species